UGGGGAAUAUUGGACAAUGGGCGCAAGCCUGAUCCAGCCAUGCUGCGUGAGUGAUGAAGGCCCUAGGGUUGUAAAGCUCUUUCACCGGUGAAGAUAAUGACGGUAACCGGAGAAGAAGCCCCGGCUAACUUCGUGCCAGCAGCCGCGGUAAUACGAAGGGGGCUAGCGUUGUUCGGAUUUACUGGGCGUAAAGCGCACGUAGGCGGACUUUUAAGUCAGGGGUGAAGUCCCGGGGCUCAACCCCGGAGCUGCCUUUGAUACUGGAAGUCUUGAGUAUGGUAAAGGUGAGUGGAGUUCCGAGUGUAGAGGUGAAAUUCGUAGAUAUUCGGAGAAACACCAGUGGAGAGGGCGGCUCACUGGACCAUUACUGACGCUGAGGUGCGAAAGCGUGGGGAGCAAACAGG
rnacentral:rRNA from 1 species